AUGAAGAACGGAUGGGGGGUCCCUGGGGGAAGGGGGACAGCCCCAGAGGAGGGGAGCUGUGGGGUCCCUGGGGGGGACACCCCAAGACAUUCCCAGGAGAUACGGGGACCUGGGAAGGGACAGACGGGGUCCCCGGGGGGACAGGCAGCAUGCACAGGGGGACAGGUGGAUGCCCCCCGGACUAGGGGGUCCCGGGGAGGGACGGUUACAGGGUCCCAGGGGACGGGAGCAUGCACGGGGGGGGUGGGAGGGGGCAGCCGGGGGCCCCGCAGGUGCAGGGUCCCCGGGGACAGGCAGCAUGCAGGGGGCGGGCGGGGGUGCCCGCAGCUGCGGGGUCCCCGGGGAGGGAUGGCGGCGGGAGGGAGGGGGGGGGCGGGGAGGGGGGGGACCGGCGGGCGGAGGAAUGCGGCCGUCCCGGCUCUCCCGGGGCCGCGGCCGCCCCGCGCUUCCCGCCCGGGGCCGCGGUGGGUGUGGGAAAGCUGCAGGCGUGCGCUUGGGCAACCGCGUGCCCAGCGAGCGACGCGCCCGCCGCGGCCCCCGGCCGGGGAUGCCGCCCCCAGCGCAGCACCCCCCUGCCACAACUCACAUUCAAGCAGGGUUUCUCUUUCUUUUUUUUUUUUUUUUUUUUUUGGCCUCAAUUUGGGCCAAAAAGAAAAAAAAACGGGGGGUGGGGGCCGUAGCACCCGAGCCCCAAGUGGGGGCCUCACAGGCAGGCUACGGGAUCCCCCCCCCGGGGGUAAGGAGCCCCCCACCCCCAGCACCGAGCUGUCCCCAGAGCAAACGGGACCAAAAGCCGGGGGGGCGGCGAGCCCCCCCCCAGCCUCUCGGGGGGCUGACGGGGAGGGGGCCGGGGAGCGGCGUCGCCCGGGGGCUGCGGGGCCGCGGCCACGCUCCCGGAGCGAGGGCUCUGGGGUUCCUCUCGCUUUCUCCUUCCUCCCCGCUCGGGCCGGACAAGCCCAGGCAGCGCCGGCUCCUCGGCUCCCCUUGAUGUUCCUCCCAAACAGCCCCGCCGCCUGCCAGCGGCCUCCCGAAAAAAGAUUUGGGAAGCCGGGGGAGGACGGGGGGAGCGGGCGCGGGACAAGUGAAACUGCCGCGGGCAGCGCCGCUCCCCACCCGGGCACGGCCGCAGCGGGGGGGGGCUGCGGGGCGGGCGGCGGGGCACGGGGUCCUGCCGCCCCCCCCCGGCGCUGCGGGGCACGGGGGGCCGCCGCCCGGCUCCCCUCCGGCGGCGCGUCGAGCGCACGGUGCCAGCCCGGCCCCCCCCCGCCGCAUCCCCGCGCCCCUCGGAGACCAGCCCCGAGGGGGCACCGGGGACCCUCCCCCCGCCGGCAGCGGCCCCCGGCCCGGCGGCUCAGUUUGUGGGGGCGGCGUUGCCCCCCUCGGGCUCCCGCUUGCCUCCCUUGGCAGCCGGCGGCUCCCCGGCGCCCUUGGCCUCGGGCUCGCCGCCGUCCUUGGCGCCGUCGUGCGUCUUCAUGUGCUUGCCCAGGUGGUCGCUGCGCAUGA
rnacentral:lncRNA from 1 species